rnacentral:rRNA from 1 species
CGGCGAACGGGUGAGUAACACGUGGGUAAUCAACCCUCGAUACUGGGAUAGCCCGGGGAAACUCGGAUUAAUACCGGAUGGCCCUUUGGAUCCUCGGAUCUGAAGGAAAAGGUAGCUUCGGCCUCCGAUCGAGGACGAGCCCGCGGCGGAUUAGCUUGUUGGUGAGGUAACGGCCCACCAAGGCGACGAUCCGUAGCUGGUCUGAGAGGAUGACCAGUCACACUGGGACUGAGACACGGCCCAG